GGUAGCGAUAGCGAAGAGGUCACACCUGUUCCCAUGCCGAACACAGAAGUUAAGUUCUUCAGCGCCGAUGGUAGUUGGGGGCUUCCCCCUGCGAGAGUAGGACGCCGCCGG
rnacentral:rRNA from 1 species